rnacentral:rRNA from 1 species
GAUGAACGCUGGCGGCGUGCUUAACACAUGCAAGUCGAACGAUGAAGCCUAGCUUGCUGGGUGGAUUAGUGGCGAACGGGUGAGUAACACGUGAGUAACCUGCCCUUAACUCUGGGAUAAGCCUGGGAAACUGGGUCUAAUACCGGAUAGGAGCGUCCACCGCAUGGUGGGUGUUGGAAAGAUUUAUCGGUUUUGGAUGGACUCGCGGCCUAUCAGCUUGUUGGUGAGGUAAUGGCUCACCAAGGCGACGACGGGUAGCCGGCCUGAGAGGGUGACCGGCCACACUGGGACUGAGACACGGCCCAGACUCCUACGGGAGGCAGCAGUGGGGAAUAUUGCACAAUGGGCGCAAGCCUGAUGCAGCGACGCCGCGUGAGGGAUGACGGCCUUCGGGUUGUAAACCUCUUUCAGUAGGGAAGAAGCGAAAGUGACGGUACCUGCAGAAGAAGCACCGGCUAACUACGUG